AGCAAACAGAAAAGUAAUUAAGACAACGAUUUAAAAAAACCCCGAUAACAUAUGAAAGAGAAAAAGAGAACAGCAGAAAUACAUGUAAAACCACACUUAGCAUUACCAGUCAAAAUACAGAUACCACCAAAGCAGUUUUAAUCCAUCAGAUUUGUCAAAAAUUAAAAUUCUGACAAAAUCCAAGUGUUUAUAAAGAUAUGAGGAAACAGCCCAUACUAUGACCUAACAAUCUGACUUGUGAGGUGGAUAAACCCUACAUAAUCUCUCAUAGUGCCUCCCACAAGGAUGUUCACUACAGUAUUGUCUAUAACAGCAAAGAUACAAUUUAAAUCUUUAUGUCUUGGGUAAUGGAAAUAUAAAAUAUGCUGCAUUUACACAAUGGAAUACUGUAAGAGAAAGCAAAUCUGUGUUAGAGCAACAUGUAAAAACAUUUAAAAUCAAUUUGUGAACCAGACAUGAAAAGUCACGGACUCUGCACCUGUGAGGAGGGCCAGACGCGAGAAUAGAAGAACGAACCUGAUUGGCUGCUCCCAGACUCUGGACCCUGUGAAGGGGACAGCGUGGCCACUGGCCUGAGGAGACAGAGGCUAACCCUUGCUCAAAGUGAACAGCUACCAUGUGAGGACAGAAGCUGUCAGCACCAACAUGCACGUUUCAGAGACCACGAGGACGGCACACAGUCCUAAGGACUGUGGAAUGGCAGAGCUUUGGGGAAAUUCUGUUUACAACUGAGACAUUUCACAAUUCUAAUAAAAUAAUUUGCAUAAAGGUAUAGGAAAA